rnacentral:rRNA from 1 species
CAGAGGCCCCAAGCGUUACUGAGAAUCACUGGGUUUAAAGGGUGCGUAGGUGGUCCGUUAAGUUCGUUGUGAAAUCCCUGGGCUCAACCCAGGAAAUGCUUCGAAUACUGGCGGACUUGAGGCUAGUAGAGGUCACUGGAACUGACGGUGGAGCGGUGAAAUGCGUAGAUAUCGUCAGGAACGCCGAUGGUGAAGACAGGUGACUGGGCUAGUUCUGACACUGAGGCACGAAAGCGUGGGGAGCGAACGGGAUUAGAUACCCCGGUAGUCCACGCCCUAAACGAUGCAGACUAGACUGCAGCGGGUUACACCCCGUUGCGGUCGGAGCGAAAUUGUUAAGUCUGCCACCUGGGAAGUACGGUCGCAAGGCUA